GACAGAGGAUGCAAGCUUUAUCCGGAAUGAUUGGGCGUAAAGCGUCUGUAGGUGGCUUUUCAAGUCCGCCGUCAAAUCCCAGGGCUUAACCCUGGACAGGCGGUGGAAACUACCAAGCUGGAGUACGGUAGGGGUAGAGGGAAUUUCCGGUGGAGCGGUGAAAUGCAUUGAGAUCGGAAAGAACACCAACGGCGAAAGCACUCUGCUGGGCGGACACUGACACUGAGAGACAAAAGCUAGGGGAGCAAAUGGG
rnacentral:rRNA from 1 species